rnacentral:rRNA from 1 species
GACGAACGCUGGCGGCGUGCUUAACACAUGCAAGUCGAGCGAUGAAGCACCUUCGGGUGUGAAUUAGCGGCGAACGGGUGAGGAACACGUGAAGAAUCUGCCUUCAACUCUGGGAUAACUCCGGGAAACCGGGGCUAAUACCGGAUAUGAGCCUUGAUCGCAUGAUCGGGGCUGGAAAGUUUUUCGGUUGAAGGUGACUUCGCGGCCUAUCAGCUUGUUGGUGAGGUAAUGGCUCACCAAGGCGACGACGGGUAGCCGGCCUGAGAGGGCGACCGGCCACACUGGGACUGAGACACGGCCCAGACUUCAACGGGAGGCAGCAGUGGGGAAUAUUGGGCAAUGGAGGAAACUCUGACCCAGCGACGCCGCGUGAGGGAUGAAGGCCUUCGGGUUGUAAACCUCUUUCAGUAGGGAAGUAGCGAAAGUGACGGUACCUACAGAAGAAGCACCGGCUAACUAUGUGCCAGCCGCCGCCGUAA